GACGAACGCUGGCGGCGUGCUUAACACAUGCAAGUCGAACGGAAAGGCCCUGCUUUUGUGGGGUGCUCGAGUGGCGAACGGGUGAGUAACACGUGAGUAACCUGCCCUUGACUUUGGGAUAACUUCAGGAAACUGGGGCUAAUACCGGAUAGGAGCUCCUGCUGCAUGGUGGGGGUUGGAAAGUUUCGGCGGUUGGGGAUGGACUCGCGGCUUAUCAGCUUGUUGGUGGGGUAGUGGCUUACCAAGGCUUUGACGGGUAGCCGGCCUGAGAGGGUGACCGGCCACAUUGGGACUGAGAUACGGCCCAGACUCCUAUGGGAGGCAGCAGUGGGGAAUAUUGCACAAUGGGCGGAAGCCUGAUGCAGCAACGCCGCGUGCGGGAUGACGGCCUUCGGGUUGUAAACCGCCUUCGCCUGUGACGAAGCGUGAGUGACGGUAAUGGGUAAAGAAGCACCGGCUAACUACGUG
rnacentral:rRNA from 1 species